rnacentral:lncRNA from 8 species
AUGGCUGGGAUGAAGGAGCAGCAAUUUACUGAGGAGAAACCCCUACUGCAAGAACAGAGAGGACAAGACACUGAGAUGGAGAACUGUGAGACCCUGAUGCCCACUGGAGACUGGAAGGUACUGAAACUGUUUUCUACAUUUUCAAUGUACCGUACUCUCUUUCUCUCUCUAUCCUUCUCUGGUUGCUGUUAUUACUGUACAUCACAGGAGGCUGCUGAGGGGAAAACGGCUCAUAAUAAUGACCAGAACAGAGCAAAUAAAAUGGCAUCAAACACUUGGAAACCAUGUGUUUGACCUAUUUGAUACCAUUGCACAUCUUCCGUUCCUUACCACUAGCCCAUCCUCCCCAAUUAAGGUGCCACCAACCUCCUGUGCUGUACACUCACCCACGUAACCAUGGUGACUCAUUGGGAGGAGAAGAGGGAAGAAGAUGGGGAGAAGGAUAAGUGACUGUUUGGCCAUAGCACAGCUAAUAUGAGUUGGGACCACUAGAUACUGAUGCAAUCAUUCACUAUCACACAGCAGCUCUCACACAGUGCAGAACCACAAAAGUUUUAAAGUCCUUAGAAGUUGAUUUCUGUAAUGUGAUGUUCAGAGUCUAUUUUAACAUGAAUCCACGUAGCGAUUAGAUCAGAGAUAUGACUAAUCGUCUAGACACCUCCAUUCUCCCCUCUGUCUGAUACCUCCAGUGUCACCUCCCCCCUCUCUCACCUCCCCCUCUGCCCCCCUCUUCCCCCCUCUCUCACCCUCUCAACUCAAUUCAAUUCAAAUGGCUUUAUUGCCAUGGGAAACAUAUGUUACAUUGCCAAAGCAAAUGAAAUCGAUAAUAAACAAAAGUGAAAUAAACAAUCGAAAAUGAACAGUAAACAUUACACUCACAAAAGUUUCAAAGGAAUAAAGACAUUUCAAAUGUCAUAUUAUGCCUAUGUACAGUGUUGUAAGUAUGUGGAUAUAGUUAAAGUACAAAAGGGAAAAUAAAUAAACAUGAAUAUGCGUUUGUUCUUCACCGGUUGCCGUUUUCGUGUGGCAACAGGUCACAAAUAUUGCUGCUGUGAUGGCACACUGUGGUAUUUCACCCAGUAGAUAUGGGAAUUUGUUUUCUUAUUCUUUGUGGGUCUGUGUAAUCUGAGGGAAAUAUGUGGCUCUAAUAUGGUAAUACAUUAGGAAGUGCAGCUCAGUUUCCACCUCAUUUUGUGGGCAGUGUGCACAUAGCCUGUCUUCUCUUGAAAGCCAGGUCUGCCUACAGCAAGGCUAUGCUCACUGAGUCUGGCUAUGCUCACUGAGUCUGUACAUAGUCAAAGCUUUCUUUAAUUUUGGGUCAGUCACAGUGGUCAUGUAUUCUGCCACUGUGUACUCUCUGUUUAGGGCCAAACAGCAUUCCAGUUUUUCUGGUUAAUUCUUUCCAAUGUGUCAAGCAAUUAUCUUUUAGUUUUCUUAUGAUUUGGUUGGGUGUAGAUGUGUUGCUGUCCUGGGGCUCUGUGGGGUGUGUUUGUGAACAGAGCCCCAGGACCAGCUUGCUUAGGAGAUUCUUCUGUAGGUUCAUCUCUCUGUAGGUGAUGUCUUAUUUAUGGAAGGUUUAGAAAUCGCUUCCUUUCAUGUGGUUGUGGAAUAUAACCGCUCUUUUCUGGAUUUUGAUAAUUAGCGGGUAUCGUCCUAAUUCUGCUCUGCAUUAUUGGGUGUUUUACAUUGUACACGUAAUAUGUUUUUGCAGAAUUCUGCAUGCAGAGUCUCAAUUUGGUGUUUGUACCAUUUUGUGAAUUAUAGGUUGGUGAGGGACCCCAGACCUCACAACCAUAAAUGGCAAUAGGUUCUAUAACUGAUUCAAGUAUUUUUAGCCAGAUCCUAAUUGGGAUGUUGAAUUAUAUGUUCCUUUUAAUGGCGUAGAGGGAUCUUCUUGCCUUGUUUCUCAGAUCGUUCACAGGUUUGUGGAAGUUACCUGUGUUGCUGAUGUUCAGGCCGAGGUAUGUAUGAUUUUUUGUGUGCUCUUUGGCAAUGGUUGUCUAGAUGGAAAUUGAAUUUGUGUUCCUGGCAACUGGACCUUUUUUGGAACACCAUUUCCUGUCAGGGCCCAAGUCUGACAUAAUCUGUGCAGAAGAUCUAGGAGCUGUUGUGUUCCCCCCCCCCCCCCUUCUCUCUCUAUCUGUUAAAUGCUUUGCACAAAUCAGCAGGCCUCAAGUUGUAUCACACAGUGGUUGAGUGUAUGGUGCCAUGUAGCUCAGUUGGUAGAGUGUUGUGCUUGUAACGCAAGGGUUGUGGAUUCGAUUCCCACUGGGCACCAUUACGAAAAUGUAUGCACAAAUGUAAGUCGCUCUGGAUAAAAGCUAAAAUGUAAAUGUUUGUAUGUGUGUUUUUCUGAGGGUAUCCUUGCAUGUGUGUGUGAUGACAGUGCAUAUGAUUAUAGGUGAGAGAAUGAGGUUGUGUAUUUAAUGAAGACUGGAAAUGUUGAGUCAGCCGGGGAGUGGGUUAAUCCCUCUCUUCCGCAGAAAAGGGGGACCGAGCUAGAGAGAGAAAGAGACAUGGAGAGUUUACAGUUGAGUCAGCUUGCUAAGUUCUCUGUACACAGGAAAGGCGGAUACCGACGAGAGAAAGAAAAAAUUGAUGUUGUGGAGAAUAUGGACAAUGGCUGCUGGUGUGAAUAAAUGUAACCUAUAGCAGAGACAGCCACUGCUGCCAUAUUGAUCUGUAGUCAGCACUGUUCCAUCAUCCCCUGCUUUCUGAGUAGAUGCACGCACAUACAGUACUCUGCUCUGCUUUACUGGUGACCUAUGGCCACUUACUGUCCCAUCAAUGUCCCAUUACACAGAAGCAUGGAGGAGCCUACUGGCUGCUGCUGCUGCUGCACAGAGACAGAAAGAGAUGUCACUGUUCUCUGUUUAAUUUUUAUUUGUAAAAAUAAAUCUCACUGCAUGCUAAGCAUUUGUUUAUGCAUCACCGUCCAUGACUGUUAAGGAGCGAUAAGAGGGGUGGGAAAGGAAAGGAGACAGGUAGGACAGGGUCAAUAAGAGAGAGAGGGAGAGAAAAAGAGAGGGAGAUAAGCCAUCUUCUCCUGAAACAGAGCACUGGUGCUGAUGAGAGAGCAAAACAAGAGCACAGCAGAGAACCUGCUGUGACUGACAGAGGAGCUAACCAAUCAUGUGCAGAGAGGCAGCACUGGCAGCGAAUAGGCUUGAGUUCGACACGCCCUCAUGGUGGGGUUUAUAAGGUGUCGGGGGAAGAGAGGGGGCACAGCACUGCAGCGCUCAGCCCCAGAGCAGGACGAGGCUAGACGAGACAAGACAAGACGAGACAAAGAGACCACCAGCAGCAUCCCCCAGCAGGCUCUGCUCUAAAGCCAGGACCUAGUCCCACUACAGGAGAGGACUGGCUCUGUCUGUCUGUCUGUCUCGUCUCCACUGACUGCUCCUCCUCCUCCUCCUGCCAUUCUUCCUCCUCUUUCUCCUCCACCACUGAGCACGCUUACUGAGGCACCAUGCCUGAAUGCUGGGAUGGGGUGAGUGACAGUAUAAUGUAUCUACAGGUUUAUACUGAGUGACUGCUUGAGUGUGUUCAGUGUUUCUGCUGUCGCGUGGAUGACUCUGCAUAUUUUGGUUGAUAGAGUGAGGAUAUUUUGAUGAAGGGGAAGUGAAUCCACUACUAUAGAAUGUCUUCAUUAAUAAACACCUUUGAUGUACCGUGCUGUUGUAAUACUCUGGAAUAAUUAAUUAGCUAUCUAUGAUGUACCGUGCUGUUGUAAUACUCUGGAAUAAUUAAUUAGCUAUCUAUGAUGUACCGUGCUGUUGUAAUACUCUGGAAUAAUUAAUUAGCUAUCUAUGAUGUACCGUGCUGUUGUAAUACUCUGAAUAAAUGACUAGCUAUCUAUGAUGUACCGUGCUGUUGUAAUACUCUGAAUAAAUGACUAGCUAUCUAUGAUGUACCGUGCUGUUGUAAUACACUGAAUAAAUGACUAGCUAUCUAUGAUGUACCGUGCUGUUGUAAUACUCUGGAAUAAUUGAUUAGCUAUCUAUGAUGUACCGUGCUGUUGUAAUACUCUGAAUAAAUGACUAGCUAUCUAUGAUGUACCGUGCUGUUGUAAUACUCUGAAUAAAUUGCUAGCUAUCUAUGAUGUACCGUGCUGUUGUAAUACUCUGAAUAAAUGACUAGCUAUCUAUGAUGUACCGUGCUGUUGUAAUACUCUGAAUAAAUGACUAGCUAUCUAUGAUGUACCGUGCUGUUGUAAUACUCUGGAAUAAUUGAUUAGCUAUCUAUGAUGUACAGUGCUGUUGUAAUACUCUGAAUAAAUGACUAGCUAUCUAUGAUGUACCGUGCUGUUGUAAUACUCUGAAUAAAUUACUAGCUAUCUAUGAUGUACCGUGCUGUUGUAAUACUCUGAAUAAAUGACUAGCUAUCUAUGAUGUACCGUGCUGUUGUAAUACUCUGAAUAAAUGACUAGCUAUCUAUGAUGUACCGUGCUGUUGUAAUACUCUGAAUAAAUGACUAGCUAUCUAUGAUGUACUGUGCUGUUGUAAUACUCUGAAUAAAUGAUUAGCUAUCUAUGAUGUACCGUGCUGUUGUAAUACUCUGAAUAAAUGACUAGCUAUCUAUGAUGUACCGUGCUGUUGUAAUACUCUGAAUAAAUGUGCAUUGGAUAAGAUUAUCUGUAAAAGAUUCAUGUUGAAAUAUUAGUUCUCUAGUUGUGCUUAUAUUUAAUGUUGUAUUAACUAAUUUAAUGUAUGGGUUAAUUAUGCAUACUGAAAUGGUUGUUGUACUGUUAUUGUGUCCCUCUAAUGAUCAGUCAUGUAAAGUAUGAGUCUUCGUGGAGACAAGCUGACACACUAACGCUGCGACAAACAAUAAUGCAUUCUGCCACACAUGCAUGUCUAAACAGGGAAAUAGACCUGAGAGUGAGUGUGUAUGUGAGAUGCCUGUAAGUCUUGUGAGUUGCCUAAUUAUUCUGUACUAGGACAAACGUCUCUCUGACCUUGGGAGCCAGAAGGAAGGGAGUGAGAGAGGAAGAUGAGAGGGAGGGACUGAAAGAAGAAGUGAGCGAGAAAGGAAGAUGAGUGAGAGAGAAAGGGAGCACGGA